GAUGAACGCUGGCGGCGUGCCUAAUACAUGCAAGUCGAGCGAACGGACGAGAAGCUUGCUUUUCUGAUGUUAGCGGCGGACGGGUGAGUAACACGUGGAUAACCUACCUAUAAGACUGGGAUAACUUCGGGAACCCGGAGCUAAUACCGGAUAAUAUUUUGAACCGCAUGGUUCAAAAGUGAAAGACGGUCUUGCUGUCACUUAUAGAUGGAUCCGCACUGCAUUAGCUAGUUGGUAAGGUAACGGCUUACCAAGGCAACGAUGCAUAGCCGACCUGAGAGGGUGAUCGGCCACACUGGAACUGAGACACGGUCCAGACUCCUACGGGAGGCAGCAGUAGGGAAUCUUCCGCAAUGGGCGAAAGCCUGACGGAGCAACGCCGCGUGAGUGAUGAAGGUCUUCGGAUCGUAAAACUCUGUUAUUAGGGAAGAACAUAUGUGUAAGUAACUGUGCACAUCUUGACGGUACCUAAUCAGAAAGCCACGGCUAACUACGUG
rnacentral:rRNA from 1 species